rnacentral:rRNA from 1 species
GGACUACAGGGGUAUCUAAUCCUGUUUGCUACCCACGCUUUCGCGUCUCAGUGUCAGGAACGGCCCAGAAGGCCGCCUUCGCCACAGGUAUUCCUCCUAAUAUCUACGAAUUUCACCUCUACACUAGGAAUUCCACCUUCCUCUACCGUCCUCUAGCUAAGCAGUUUCGGAUGCACUUCCUCGGUUGAGCCCAGGGAUUUCACACCCGACUUACCUAACCACCUACACGCGCUUUACGCCCAAUGAUUCCGAACAACGCUUGCACCCUACGUAUUACCGCGGCGGCUGGCAC